GGCCACCACCGGCCAGGGGCGCGGAAGAAGCUCAGUCCGCGACGACCGCCAGGCUCUCCAGGUCCACCGGGGGUCGGGCUGCGAUGGAGCCGGGGCCCACGGCGCCCUCCUCCGGGGCCCCGAGACUGGCUGGGGUUGGGGAGACGCCGCCAGCCGCCGCGCUGGCCGCCGCCGGGGUGGAUCUACCCGGCACGGCGGUGCCCUCGGUGCCGGAGGAUGCUGCGACCGUGAGCCGGGGCGGUGGCGGGGUCCGCGGUGAGGGCGCCGCGGCGGCCGGAGACGGGCUGGGCAGACCCCUGGGGCCCACCCCUAGCCAGAGCCGCUUUCAGGUGGACCUGGUUUCCGAGAACGCCGGGAGGGCCGCGGCAGUGGCGGCGGCGGCUGGUGGUGGGGCGGGGGGCAAGGAGACCCCAUCGGCGGGGAAAGCUAGCGGUGAGAGUGGGCCGGCCAAGGGCAGCGAGGAAGCCAAGGGCCGCUUCCGCGUGAACUUCGUGGACCCGGCCGCCUCCUCGUCGGCGGAAGACAGCCUGUCAGACGCGGCGGGGGUCGGAGGCGACGGGCCCAACGUGAGCUUCCAGAACGGUGGGGACACGGUGCUGAGUGAGGGCAGCAGCCUGCACUCGGGCGGCGGCAGUGGGCACCACCAGCACUACUGCUAUGACACUCACACCAACACCUACUACCUGCGCACCUUCGGCCACAACACCAUGGACGCCGUGCCCAGGAUUGACCACUACCGGCACACAGCCGCGCAGCUGGGGGAGAAGCUGCUCCGGCCCAGCCUGGCGGAGCUCCACGACGAGCUGGAAAAGGAACCUUUUGAGGAUGGCUUUGCAAAUGGGGAGGAAAGUACUCCAACCAGAGACGCUGUGGUCACUUACACUGUGGAAAGUAAAGGAGUUGUGAAGUUUGGCUGGAUCAAGGGUGUAUUGGUACGUUGUAUGUUAAACAUUUGGGGUGUGAUGCUCUUUAUUAGAUUGUCCUGGAUUGUGGGUCAAGCUGGAAUAGGUCUGUCAGUCCUUGUAAUAGUGAUGGCUACUGUUGUGACAACUAUCACAGGAUUGUCUACUUCAGCAAUAGCUACCAAUGGAUUUGUAAGAGGAGGAGGAGCAUAUUAUUUAAUAUCUAGAAGUCUAGGGCCAGAAUUUGGUGGUGCAAUUGGCCUGAUCUUCGCUUUUGCCAAUGCUGUUGCAGUGGCCAUGUAUGUGGUUGGAUUUGCAGAAACUGUGGUGGAGUUGCUUAAGGAACAUUCCAUACUUAUGAUAGAUGAAAUCAAUGAUAUCCGAAUUAUUGGAGCUAUUACAGUGGUGAUUCUUUUAGGUAUCUCAGUAGCUGGAAUGGAAUGGGAAGCAAAAGCUCAGAUUGUUCUUUUGGUGAUUCUACUUCUUGCUAUUGCUGAUUUCGUCAUAGGAACAUUUAUCCCAUUGGAGAGCAAAAAGCCCAAAGGUUUCUUUGGAUAUAAAUAUGAAAUAUUCAAUGAGAAUUUUGGACCAGAUUUUCGAGAUGAAGAGACUUUUUUUUCUGUAUUUGCCAUCUUUUUUCCUGCUGCCACUGGUAUUCUGGCUGGAGCAAAUAUCUCAGGUGAUCUUGCAGAUCCUCAGUCAGCCAUACCAAAAGGAACACUCUUAGCCAUUUUAAUUACUACAAUGGUUUAUGUAGGAAUUGCAGUAUCUGUAGGUUCUUGUGUUGUUCGUGAUGCUACUGGGAACAUUAAUGACACUAUUGUAACAGAGCUAACAAACUGUACUUCUGCAACCUGCAAAUUAAACUUUGACUUUUCAUCUUGUGAAAGCAGUCCUUGUUCCUUUGGCCUAAUGAAUAACUUCCAGGUAAUGAGCAUGGUGUCAGGAUUUGCACCAUUAAUUUCUGCAGGUAUCUUUUCAGCUACUCUUUCUUCAGCAUUGGCAUCCCUUGUGAGUGCUCCCAAAAUAUUUCAGGCUCUAUGUAAGGACAACAUCUACCCAGCUUUCCAGAUGUUUGCUAAAGGUUAUGGAAAAAAUAAUGAACCUCUUCGUGGCUACAUCUUAACAUUCUUAAUUGCACUUGGAUUUAUCUUAAUUGCUGAACUGAAUGUUAUUGCUCCGAUUAUCUCUAACUUCUUCCUUGCAUCGUAUGCAUUGAUCAAUUUUUCAGUAUUCCAUGCAUCACUUGCAAAAUCUCCAGGAUGGCGUCCUGCAUUCAAAUACUACAACAUGUGGAUAUCACUAAUUGGAGCGAUUCUUUGUUGCAUAGUGAUGUUUGUCAUUAAUUGGUGGGCUGCAUUGCUAACAUAUGUGAUAGUCCUUGGGCUGUAUAUAUAUGUUACCUACAAAAAACCAGAUGUGAACUGGGGAUCCUCUACACAAGCCCUGACUUACCUGAAUGCACUGCAGCAUUCAAUUCGUCUCUCUGGAGUGGAAGACCAUGUGAAAAACUUUAGGCCACAGUGUCUUGUUAUGACAGGUGCUCCGAACUCACGCCCAGCUUUACUUCAUCUUGUUCACGAUUUCACAAAAAAUGUUGGUUUGAUGAUAUGUGGCCAUGUACAUAUGGGCCCUCGAAGACAAGCCAUGAAAGAGAUGUCCAUUGAUCAAGCCAAAUAUCAACGAUGGCUUAUUAAAAAUAAAAUGAAGGCUUUUUAUGCUCCAGUACAUGCAGAUGACUUGAGAGAAGGUGCACAGUAUUUGAUGCAGGCUUCUGGUCUUGGUCGUAUGAAACCAAACACACUUGUUCUUGGAUUUAAGAAAGAUUGGUUACAAGCAGAUAUGAGGGAUGUGGAUUUGUAUAUAAACAUAUUUCAUGAUGCCUUUGACAUACAAUAUGGAGUAGUGGUUAUCCGCCUGAAAGAAGGUCUGGAUAUAUCUCAUCUUCAAGGACAAGAAGAAUUAUUGUCAUCACAAGAGAAAUCUCCUGGCCCCAAGGAUGUGGUAGUAAGUGUGGAGUAUAGUAAAAAAUCGGAUUCAGAUACUUCCAAACCAUCUAGUGAAAAAACUGUUACACAUAAAGAUGAGGAAGAGGAUGGCAAGACUCCAACUCAACCACUGUUGAAAAAAGAAUCCAAAGGCCCUAUUGUGCCUCUAAAUGCAACUGACCAGAAACUUCUUGAAGCUAGUACACAGUUUCAGAAAAAACAAGGAAAGAAUACUAUUGAUGUCUGGUGGCUUUUUGAUGAUGGAGGUUUGACCUUAUUGAUACCUUAUCUUCUGACUACCAAGAAAAAGUGGAAAGACUGUAAGAUCAGAGUAUUCAUUGGUGGAAAAAUAAACAGAAUAGACCAUGACCGGAGAGCGAUGGCUACUUUGCUUAGCAAGUUCCGGAUAGACUUCUCUGAUAUCAUGGUCCUAGGCGAUAUCAAUACCAAACCAAAGAAAGAAAAUAUUGUAGCGUUUGAUGAAAUGAUUGAGCCAUACAGACUUCAUGAAGAUGAUAAAGAACAAGAUAUUGCAGAUAAAAUGAAAGAAGAUGAACCAUGGAGAAUAACAGAUAAUGAGCUUGAACUUUAUAAGACCAAGACAUACCGGCAGAUCAGGUUAAAUGAAUUAUUAAAGGAACAUUCAAGCACAGCUAAUAUUAUUGUCAUGAGUCUCCCAGUUGCUCGAAAAGGUGCUGUGUCUAGUGCUCUCUACAUGGCAUGGUUAGAAGCUCUGUCUAAGGACCUACCACCCAUCCUCUUAGUUCGUGGGAAUCAUCAGAGUGUCCUUACCUUCUAUUCUUAAAUAGUCUGCAUAACGGACAGCCCUCCAGAAUGGUACUUCAGUGCCUAGUGAAGUAACUGAAAUCUUCAGUGACACGUUAACAUCACAAUGGCGAACUGUGACUUUUCUUUCACUCUUUUCGUUAAUUUGAAAGCACACAGGGAAGUUACUCCAUUGAUAUGUAUAAGAAGACUUCAGUUUUAGUCAAUUUCAUAUCUUAGUCUUAAUGAAUGGUGAUUCUUUCUUGCUGGACUGAAGUUCAUGAGAGUAAAGUUUUCCUUUGCUACUUGAAUAGCAAUAAAAAUGUGUUAUUUUUUGAUUAGUGAAAGGAGUACAAAAAGCCUUCAGCCUUGAGGUGCCUUCUGAAAUUAACCAAAUUUCAUCCAUAUAUGCUCUUUUAUAAAUUUAUAGAAUGUCAAACUUUGCCUUCAGCUAUUUUAUUUCUAGUCUCUUCCACCUUAAAAUGCACACUGCUUUUCUUCUUCCAUUGACCAAUUAGUGUUGAGUACUGUAUGUUUUCUAUUACUUUUGUAAAGGUAUCUGUUAGGUAUUAAACGUGAGAAUUAGGGCAGGUUAAUAAAAAAUGGGGGGUGGGGAAUGGCAACCAAUAAGUGAUUCCAGGGUUAGAUUUGUAUGAGAAUAUGUAAAUAUAGAGCUAGGAAAAAAAGCCCCAAAAUAACUUUUUUUUUUUUUUUAACUGCUCAGAUUGGCUCGUGUUUCUAUCUUUAUUAUUAUUAUUUCCUGAAACCUUAGGGAAGGUUGAAGAUUUAUCCAGUCCUUCUACAUACCAUGCUGAAAAAUCACGUUGCCAUUCUUUAAACAAAAAUUCUCAAGAUCACUUGUAUUUAUUUGAAGAGAGAUCUGUCCUAAUUUAGAAUUUCCCUCAAAUCUGAGGGACUUUUAAGAAAUGCUAACAGAUUUUUCUGGAGGAAAUUUAGACAAAGCAAUGUCAUUUAACAAGAUGUUUAAAUAAACACUAUGGUGGAAUUUCACUAUACUGUACCAUCCUUUAUAAAUCAUUAAAAUAACAUUUCAUCAAAUGGUUAAAUGGACCACAGGUUUAUUAGUGAAAUGUUUUUAGGCUUAAUUCAUUCAAUUAUCAAGUACAUUUAGUCUUAAUACACUCAGGUUUGAACAGAUUAUUCUGAACAUUUAAAUUUAAUCCACUCUUAAUACUUUAAAACUUUUGUGUUAAGAAAAACUGCCAGUUUGUGCUUUUGAAAUGUCUGUUUUGACAUCAUGGUCUACUAAUACAAUUUUGACAGUGCAUGUGUACUGUUACUAAAAGCUUUAUAUACAGUAGUUAAUGUGAAGUUUUUAAUUUUUAUUCAAGGAAGGAUUUCCUAAAAACAUUUCAAGGGAUUUAUGUCUACAUAUUUGUAUAUGUGUGUGUAUAUGUAUAUGCAUACACAGAUACAUAUGUGUAUAUAUAAUGAAAUUUAUGUUGCUGGUGUUUUGCAUUUUAAAAUGAUCAAGAUUCAUUAGAUUAAAAUUUUGUUUUAGUAAACAUAAGUUCGAAAUCUGAUUGACAGAUACAAGUUUCAUGGGGAACAAAGGUGAUCAUUUGAAGGACAUGCUGUAACUUCACACAAUUAUCCAGUUAGAAAAUGGAGAAUAUUCCAUCUAAAGUACUAUUUAGUGGAUUCAUUGGCAUAAAUUUCAAUGGUGGAGAAUUUAUGCGGGUUUUCAUGAAUCUUGAUAGGAAUCUAUGAAAAUAUUAUUUUCAGUGGUGCAGUAUUUUUGCUGCGAGAGUUUGAGUUAACAUAAAUUGGAGCUUUGAUAAUUUUGCAUUCAGAAUAUUAAGAAAAUGAAGUAACUGAUUUUCUGAGUUUUUUUCCUACAUUUUAAUACAGCAUUGUUCCAUUUAUUGCAGGUUUUGCAGUGUUUUUGGGGAAAGACAGUAGAAAUAUCAUAUUAUUCAGUAAACAAUAUCAUGUGUGAACUUUCUAAAUGGAUAAUAGGGCAUGAACUAAGUGCUGCUAUCUUGAAAUGUGCACAGGAUCAGUGAUCCAUGGAUAUUGAAUGCAAAAACCUGACUCAGUACUUGCCAGAAUACUGC